rnacentral:lncRNA from 1 species
AUGCCGGCUAGCAGGGUAGGGUGUGCCGGGCGGGUGUCCUUCUGCUCUCUUGCCGGCAGUUACGACAGGCCAUUGGAUGUACGACAACGAGGUGGUGCCGGAAGGGCUGACAUCACCGUUCUGCCCGAGUGUGCAUGCGUGUACCCAAGGGGAGGGUGGAGCGGAGUUGCGUGCUGGACCGAGGGCGUUAUCCUGCCAAGGGUAUUAACGAUGAUUUACUUCAUUAAGUGCAUAGCUGUGGAUAUCAGGACAAGGUUAUAA